UCGCUCUUGUCGUUACGGGUUGCUCGUCGUCGAACCUCACCGCUGCCAGCGCAAGCCACCGCAGCUCUCCGCCCUAGCUUGCCCAUGCCUGUGCGAGCAACCGUAGCUCCCCGACGGUGCUCACCCACGCUGAUGCCCGAGCGAGCCACCGUGACUCGCUGCCGGUUCUCGUCCACGUCUGCAGGCGCCAGCGCAAUUCGUCCUCGCCUCGCGGAUGCCUGCGCUAGAUACCGCAGCUCGCUGCGGGUUCUCCCCCACGCCUGCGCGCGAUAGCGCAGCUCUCUGCGGGUGCUUGCCAUCCCCUCGGCUCAUUGGCGCAGCUCGCCCUCCCCUGCUGGAGAAGUGUUUUAGUGGCGAGGGUGGUGCUGAAGAGAAGACGAUGCCUUGUGCAGGUCCUGAGCAAGUGGCGUGAUGGCAGCAGCGGCCGGAGGAGGAGAUGGAUGCGUGUGUAGGUCCUGAAGAUGUUGAAUGCAAGCAACAUGUAAGUCACGUUUGUUGUACUCUUUUGCUUGAUUAUGGAUUGCGAUUUGGAAAUUACAUGAAGAAUAGCAUGUCACAUUUAGUUUCACAGCCAGGACAAAUGAGCGACAAUAUGACAAAUGAGUAAUAUUGCAAAUUUCAGUCCAUAAGCUACUUGCUGCAAUCUGUUUUGUUGCACUUGUUGUAGAUUAUUCAAAAGCAGCAAUGGAAUUGUAGGUAGAAGUGGCACACGUAUGUAGACCUCCGUACAUUGGCAAGGGACUCUUCAACCAUGAUUCGCAGAUGAAUCUGAAUUCACAUCUCCCAAAAAAAAGUAAGGAGUUCACAUAAUGAUUUCAUAAAUAAAACUAAAAUGAGUUCACAACGCCAAAUAUAUAUGAGCUCCCGGCUAAUAUAAGCUCACGGCUCAGAGCAAUUGAAGAAAUUGAGUUCAAAUAGAAGAAAACUACUUGAUGAAAUAAGUCUGGAACUCGCUGACUGGAACUUGAUUUAUGUUUAAUAAUAUGGCACGGCUGUGUGCAUCAUUUGAUGCAGAGGCCGGGGUAAUCCCCUUUUCGAAAAUAAAAUAAGUAUAACAUCAAUUUCAUAGAGACCAAUCAUCCAAUUUGUAGCUUUCUCUUUGAUGUAAGCUUCUUUGCUGGAUAUGUGGGCUUUGGAAUGAGACUAAUGUUAGACAGUCGAAUAAGCGGUAUGUGAUAGUAGGCCUUCCCUGUGUCAACGGGCAAUAUUAAACUCAUCUUUGUCUAGGGGGACAGUUCAGUAACUUAGAGACGUACGAAACAUUUUUCUCCUCAGAAAAGAAAUUCCCCACUCCACAAACAGGUCUUCUUCUUCCAGGUUGGUGCAUUGACGGAGUCAAUACACUGGUACAACCCCAGCAUGGAAGAUACAAAUUACUUCAUAUUUCUUGCUGUAAUUUCAGUGGUGACUUCCGGGCAAAGCCAGGGCGGCUGCCUGACAUUGUGGGGUCGAUUAACAUCUGCCACUGAGUCGCUGGAUCUACCUAUUAUUACUUGCAAUCUAGUAGUAGAGCACCCUGACUCAUUCAGCUCCGUAAGCAUCCUUUGUUCCCUUUCUUUUGGUUGUUUGAAUCAUUUGAUUCCACUUUGUUUCCAUCGCAAAGAAAAAUUAC
rnacentral:lncRNA from 1 species